UGAUGUAGAGAUUCCAGUUCC
ensembl:piRNA 21ur-3800 ncRNA